GACGAACGCUGGCGGCGUGCUUAACACAUGCAAGUCGAGCGGAAAGGCCCUUCGGGGUACUCGAGCGGCGAACGGGUGAGUAACACGUGAGUAACCUGCCCUAGGCUUUGGGAUAACCCCGGGAAACCGGGGCUAAUACCGGAUAUGACCUGGUGCCGCAUGGUGUUGGGUGGAAAGUUUUUUCGGCCUGGGAUGGGCUCGCGGCCUAUCAGCUUGUUGGUGGGGUGAUGGCCUACCAAGGCGAUGACGGGUAGCCGGCCUGAGAGGGCGACCGGCCACACUGGGACUGAGACACGGCCCAGACUCCUACGGGAGGCAGCAGUGGGGAAUAUUGCACAAUGGGCGGAAGCCUGAUGCAGCGACGCCGUGUGAGGGAUGAAGGCCUUCGGGUUGUAAACCUCCUUCAGCAGGGACGAAGCGUGAGUGACGGUACCUGCAGAAGAAGCGCCGGCCAACUACGUG
rnacentral:rRNA from 1 species